CCCUUAGAUGUUCUGGGCCACACGCGCGCUACACUGAUGAAUUCAACGAGCCUAGCCUUGUCCGAAAGGUCCGGGUAAUCUCUGAAACUUCAUCGUGAUGGGGAUAGAUCAUUGCAAUUAUUGAUCUUCAACGAGGAAUUCCUAGUAAGCGCAAGUCAUCAGCUUGCGUUGAUUACGUCCCUGCCCUUUGUACACACCGCCCGUCGCUUGUACCGAUUGGAUGGUCCGGUGAAAUCUUCGGAUAGCUGGUAGUUGGCUUGCCAUCUACUGCUAAAAGUUGCUUAAACCUUAUCAUCUAGAGGAACAAGAAGUCGUAACA
rnacentral:rRNA from 1 species